rnacentral:rRNA from 1 species
GACGAACGCUGGCGGCGUGCUUAACACAUGCAAGUCGAACGGAAAGGCCCCUUUGGGGGUCCUCGAGUGGCGAACGGGUGAGUAACACGUGAGUAACCUGCCCUUGACUUCGGGAUAACUUCAGGAAACUGGGGCUAAUACCGGAUAGGAAUCCUUGCUGCAUGGUGGGGGUUGGAAAGCUUCGGCGGUUUUGGAUGGACUCGCGGCUUAUCAGCUUGUUGGUGGGGUAGUGGCUUACCAAGGCUUUGACGGGUAGCCGGCCUGAGAGGGCGACCGGCCACAUUGGGACUGAGAUACGGCCCAGACUCCUACGGGAGGCAGCAGUGGGGAAUAUUGCACAAUGGGCGGAAGCCUGAUGCAGCAACGCCGCGUGCGGGAUGACGGCCUUCGGGUUGUAAACCGAUUUCAGCAGGGGCGAAGCUUGUGGUGACGGUACCUGCAGAAGAAGCACCGGCUAACUACGUG